UGGGCGUCACCCUGCCCUUACAUCUCAUCUUGGGGGGGGGGGGGGUCUGAGGCCUCGGGAAAGACCCGUGUGAGUGGAGAAAAGAAAGACACUGUUUCUGUCUGGCAGAAACCGUGGACGUACCCUGCCCUUCACCCCAUGAGGAUAAUUCAGUCCCGUUGGGAAACACGGCGCCUGCCCCAGAGGAUCUCGCACCGCGAUGGGCCCAGUACAGGAACAACCGGCACUUCAGCUCUGCUGGAACGAAGCGGCGUGGAGAUGGCAGGGGUGUAAAUCAGCCCCUUCCUCGCUCUGCUGCAGCCGUCCGCCCUCGGUUUUGCAGUGUGCUGUGCCCUGGGCUCGCCCCUCGCUGCGGCUUGGUCCCAGCAGCCCACCAGGCUGCAGCCCU